GGGAUAACACUUGAAAACAGGUGCUAAUACCGUAUAACACUAUUUUCCGCAUGGAAGAAAGUUGAAAGGCGCUUUUGCGUCACUGAUGGAUGGACCCGCGGUGCAUUAGCUAGUUGGUGAGGUAACGGCUCGCCAAGGCCACGAUGCAUAGCCGACCUGAGAGGGUGAUCGGCCACACUGGGACUGAGACACGGCCCAGACUCCUACGGGAGGCAGCAGUAGGGAAUCUUCGGCAAUGGACGAAAGUCUGACCGAGCAACGCCGCGUGAGUGAAGAAGGUUUUCGGAUCGUAAAACUCUGUUGUUAGAGAAGAACAAGGAUGAGAGUAAAAUGUUCAUCCCUUGACGGUAUCUAACCAGAAAGCCACGGCUAACUACGUGCCAGCAGCCGCGGUAAUACGUAGGUGGCAAGCGUUGUCCGGAUUUAUUGGGCGUAAAGCGAGCGCAGGCGGUUUCUUAAGUCUGAUGUGAAAGCCCCCGGCUCAACCGGGGAGGGUCAUUGGAAACUGGGAGACUUGAGUGCAGAAGAGGAGAGUGGAAUUCCAUGUGUAGCGGUGAAAUGCGUAGAUAUAUGGAGGAACACCAGUGGCGAAGGCGGCUCUCUGGUCUGUAACUGACGCUGAGGCUCGAAAGCGUGGGGAGCGAACAGGAUUAGAUACCCUGGUAGUCCACGCCGUAAACGAUGAGUGAUAAGUGUUGGAGGGUUUCCGCCCUUCAGUGCUGCAGCA
rnacentral:rRNA from 1 species